GGAAAAUUAGUUUAAUACAAAACAAUAACUUGUCAAGUUAUAAAUAUAAUUUUAUACUUUCCC
rnacentral:tRNA from 1 species